rnacentral:rRNA from 1 species
UCUGGGACAAGCCCUGGAAACGGGGUCUAAUACCGGAUGACACUCUGUCCCGCAUGGGACGGGGUUGAAAGCUCCGGCGGUGAAGGAUGAGCCCGCGGCCUAUCAGCUUGUUGGUGGGGUGAUGGCCUACCAAGGCGACGACGGGUAGCCGGCCUGAGAGGGCGACCGGCCACACUGGGACUGAGACACGGCCCAGACUCCUACGGGAGGCAGCAGUGGGGAAUAUUGCACAAUGGGCGAAAGCCUGAUGCAGCGACGCCGCGUGAGGGAUGACGGCCUUCGGGUUGUAAACCUCUUUCAGCAGGGAAGAAGCGAAAGUGACGGUACCUGCAGAAGAAGCGCCGGCUAACUACGUGCCAGCAGCCGCGGUAAUACGUAGGGCGCAAGCGUUGUCCGGAAUUAUUGGGCGUAAAGAGCUCGUAGGCGGCUUGUUGCGUCGGUUGUGAAAGCCCGGGGCUUAACCCCGGGUCUGCAGUCGAUACGGGCAGGCUAGAGUGUGGUAGGGGAGAUCGGAAUUCCUGGUGUAGCGGUGAAAUGCGCAGAUAUCAGGAGGAACACCGGUGGCGAAGGCGGAUCUCUGGGCCAUUACUGACGCUGAGGAGCGAAAGCGUGGGGAGCGAACAGGAUUAGAUACCCUGGUAGUCCACGCCGUAAACGUUGGGAACUAGGUGUUGGCGACAUUCCACGUCGUCGGUGCCGCAGCUAACGCAUUAAGUUCCCCGCCUGG